GCGAUAUGAUGCAGUUCAACAUGGGAUACUGAAGCAAGAAUUGAGCAAGUAAUGAGGGAGUGUGAAGAAGAUCUGAAGCAGUGAAGGCCAGCUGUUAUUAACCACCUCUACUGGACUGCAGCUUCCGCUCCUAAUGGAGAUGCAGAUGUGAUGGAGGCCAUGUGGAAAAGCAUGGUCAGCAGUGAAUGUGAUCUAAACUUUUGCUUGUGUGGUGGGGAAGCCCAUUACUUUCCCUAAUAAUUAUGUGGGUCGUAAGCCAAUUGGCUGUCAUUAUGGGGAUAUAAAGGGCGGUAGACCUGUGCUUGAGGUCAGCGUCAUUGUCAACGUCACUAACGCGUCGCGAACGCUGUACUGUGGCUGCUUCCGGCAUCAGGUGUGGACAUUGGAGAGAGUAAGCUCCGAUUGCAUGAUUGCCUUUCCCUCGCGUAUCGUUCGAAUCAGCUGUUCUGUUUCUCGUGCGGGUCUCGCACUGCUGCUGUGGCUGCCGUUGUUGUGUGUGACUAUGCAUACAUCAGAUGCGUCAUCGGUGCUCCCCUUGAAAUAUUGAAAGUGUUGACUGCUAGUCCGGGCGCGUUUCACGUCCUGCCCACGGAUAACACUGCUGUUUUGUUUUGUGUUGAUUUUUUUUCAUAGUUUGUUUUGUUUGUCUUUAUUUAUAUUUGGUUAAAAGUGAUAUUCUCUGCUCUUCUUUGUCUUCGUAUUUUCUAUUAGUUUUCUGUGUAUUUAUUUUUAGUUGAUUCCUAUUUUCCAAAGAACCUUAUCCUCGUUCUUGGGUUUAUUUUGCAGCUCAUCAUUUUGUUGGCUGUUUGAUUAAUUGUAUAUUUUGUUAAAUGUGAUCUUUUUCUCCUUUUGUAUUUUUCUAGUUUGUAUUUU
ensembl:lncRNA